AAAAUGUCUCUUUUGCACAUCCUCCUGUCAAAAUGCCAUCUGCCAUAUGGUGAUGUGGCCGUCACUAGAGGCAGCACAGAUGGGACCACCGAUCUUAGACUUCUAACCUUCAAAACGCUGCUAAAUAAAGACUCAGAACCACAAGUCCUGGAGCUGAAGAGCCGGCUAGUCAAGCCAACCAGCUUGUUCCUGAGAUUUUGUGCUGUCUGAGUGCCGGGAUGGCAGGCUAAGGAAAGAUUUAGAGUGUGCCCAGAGGAGUGUGGGAGGAGCUGGAGAGAUGGAUGCACACACAGAGUAACCAGAGUCUCAAGGAAGGAAGCCCCAGAGGAGAGGAGCAGAACACAGUCAUCCAGAAG